rnacentral:lncRNA from 1 species
CCCCGCCCUCGCAUUCCCUCGUCGGGCCCCAUUCAUCCACAGUUUGAACCCUGACGCGAGCCCACCGAGCCUCCCGGGCGCGGGGUGCUGUCUGCGUGUCCACGCCUCUGCGCCUCCGCCCGGCCCACCUCCCGCGCAGCCUUGCGGACGGCCACCGCCUAAAGUCCCUUCUAGCCGUGGUCUCUCCCCUCCCCUGCGGGAUGCCAAGAUCUGGGGACAAAGAUCAUUAAUAUCUUUAAGUUCUUACGUCAGAAGAGGGAACCAAAGUAGACUGUCUGGAAACCAGUCAGAGUUGGAUUGGGUCCAACUUAGAAGCUGGACUGAUUUUUGAGUCAAACUGGGUCUGGCUUAAACUGGACUGAGUCCAGCGUGAGGUCUCAGUUUCUAGCAACCAGAACGAGACCCACUAGAACAUCCCACUCUCUCCAGAGCCUGCGGAUGGGAUCCUGGGGAAACUGACAGAAGCUGGCAAAGGGACAGCUGUUGCCUCCUUGUUUGCCUCAUUUUGUACCCUGAGAACUUGACAUGGCUUUCUGCCUGCUUGGGGCAUGCAGGUUGUUUAUACAGGCAGCUCAACCAUCAGAUUGGGAGCCUCCCAAAUAUGGCCGGAUGGAAAUAUGGAUUGCACCACAUCUGGAACUGGAUAUGGCUGGACUGAAAUAUCAAAGAACCUAGAGGAGAAGAAAGAAAAAAAUCAGAUGACCAGACAGUUUUAAGCAACUAAUGUUGAAUUUAUAGAGACAAUAAAGCCCCUUUAGAAAACCAGCCUGCUGUCUUGCUUACAUGAUUCUUGGCAGCCUUACCAGAACCAAGACUGCAUUUGAACUUCCUUGGAAGGAACCAUAGCAGAUUCUCCUCACUACCCAGAUGGCAGCCAAACUUCAGAGUCUUCAACCUUGAGUCCAGAACUCCCAAUAAAAAGGGCUCCUGCAGACUCUUGGAACUACACACCAGCUGGAGAUCCAAAAUUAAAAUUGACUAUGGAGGCUCCUCCCCAGAAGCAGAUGGCAUCUUGAGGUGGACAGCUCUCCCAAGAUCGCAGAUCAAGAUCUCCAUCUCCAAUAUAAAACCUUGAUUCUUUUUGCCUUUCUACUACCUGCUUUUUCUCUCUGUUACUGCACAGGAAGACAAUGCUCCUUAACUCUGGCAACUAUCCCUGAAUAUACCAGUAAGGCCAUGUUGGCAUAACAAAACUCCCUAGACUUUCUUGCUAGGGUGGUUUUAAAUAAUAGUGUUGCUUUAGAUUACUUAUUGGCUGAACAAAUAAGAGUUUACGUCAUAGCAAAGUAUCUAUUAUACCUGGAUCAACACUGUUAGC